rnacentral:rRNA from 1 species
UACGUAGGGUGCGAGCGUUAAUCGGAAUUACUGGGCGUAAAGUGUGCGCAGGCGGCCGCGCAAGUCGAGUGUGAAAUCCCCGAGCUUAACUUGGGAAUUGCGCUCGAAACUACGUGGCUGGAGUGUGGCAGAGGAAGGUGGAAUUCCACGUGUAGCGGUGAAAUGCGUAGAGAUGUGGAGGAACACCGAUGGCGAAGGCAGCCUUCUGGGCCAACACUGACGCUCAUGCACGAAAGCGUGGGGAGCAACAGG